UUUUUUUUUUUUUUUUUUUUUUUCCCUCUCCCCAAGAAAAUUUCACUUACAUGCUAUAUGGCAGUUUCAUUUUUCAAAUUUCACAUUAUUGAGCAAUACUGUGUCUAGCUUUUCUGCAGAUUAAAAAUAGGUAGUGGGGCUUUCCAGUAGAAAUCAUGAAACUGCUGAACUUUCUGACUUUCAGCUGAAUUUUCUAUCCCAGCUCAGACAGGGACACAGAUAGGCAAGAGCCACAUCACUGAGCUGCAUUUCUCCUGCUGCGGAAGAGGCACACAGAAAGGGAGCAAGGAGCAGGACAUGGAGCUCUGAACAACCUACAGCAUGACAAUCUUGUCUUCCAGUUUUCCCUCAAAUCCAUCCAGUGUGUCAACCUGAGCUGUCAUGUAAUUACUCUUAAUGCACUGAUUUAUAUAAGGUGUGGGCCAAGCGUUUAACAUGAGUUUUUUGGAAACAGGUGUUUGUGGCUUAAGCCACAAAUCUCAGAUUCUGUGCAGCAGGGUGUAUUUGGCCAGUGCUUCAUGUGUAAAGAAUUUGGGCACAGGCAAUAUAUAAAUUGGCCACAAGUGUCUUCAUUUUCAACUGUUGCUAGUUGCAGAGAGAUCUUUACAUCAGAGGAUCUUUUAUGUAUGGGCUGGCUUGGUUCUUGUGAAUCAAAAAGAAAAUUGCUGUGAACCUUUCUCUUUGUGUUGUAAACUUCUGUAGAUUUAACUUGUUAUCUAAUGCAAUUUUCUUGGCAUCAGAAGCAGCUUCGUGGGUAAUUAACUUUUCUUUCAUGCUUACAAAUAAUUUUAUAACACCCAGUUGAAUUAAGAUGCAGCAGAAAGUUGGAUACAGGCAAAGUGAAGCAGUCCUAGUGUUUCUGCCUGCGUGUCUGUGUUUUAGUUCUCUUCAUGAAGUGCAAACUGACAUUGUUUUCUGAAAGGUUUACAAAGUGUAACUAACAGCAGUGAGAUGCUCUUUCUACCAUGUAUAGUCAUGGAAAAUCAGCACAAGACCUUAACUUGGCUUAAGAGAAUAAGUAACCUGUUGUCUGAGGAAGGCUGGGAACUAAAUGUUAUCAUGCAAAGCAGUUUUUGUGCUGUGAAAGCCUGCCAUAAUUUUUUUUCUGUUAACUUCCUAUAUCUUCAGAAUUCUUUUUUUACUCUGUUUAGCAAGAGGGGAAAAUAAAUAUGAAAACGGUCUGUUUGCAAAUCUGCAAACACUUCUUCCUAAGUAUGUAUAAAAAAAGGAAACACUUGACCUAAUUUUUAAGUAGUUUUAAAAAACUUGGCUAAAUGCCAGUAAUUCUUGCUGUGUGUUCACUAUAUCAAAAUGUCAUACAGAUCAUGUGUGUCGGUUUCAAUGGGGUUUUUUGUAUUUAUCUAUCUUUGCUCUUACAUGUCAAAUUUGUAUCUUAGUACUACAGAAGCAAUCUUGCAAAAAACUGGCUGUAUAGAGAAGAUGCAUGGAAGGAAAAGGAUGGGAGAUCAUGGGGUGUUCUACUGGAAGAAGUAGACACUAAUUUAUUUUACUAUUUCACAUAGAGUGAUUAUUUAUUUGUAAUUUUAAUUUAGCUGAAAAAAACUUAUUCCAAAGCAUAACUUGUCUAAAAUGACAUUUAUUUUUGCUCUCUAAUUAUAAUCUUACUGUCAGUUAUGCCAGAGCUGUGCUUUAAGUGUGGAGGAAAUAUCUUCUUCAUAAAAUAUGAAAUAGCAGUGAUAUGCUGCAACACUUGUCUUAUACUGUGCUUCCUCAAUUGCCUUAUGAUUUUUGAAUGGACACUGUUUGCACACAGCUUUCAUUUUCACUUCAAAUCUUCACAGGGAUAACAUGAAAAUUGAAGUAAAUCUGUCUGAUGUUGAGCCAAUGCAAAUAGUUGUUUCAUUAAGGAUUUUUACUCCAUGAUAUCAGUGAGACAUUUACACUAUUUAUGAAAGCUUCCAGUAAUGGGCUAUCUACAACUCCCUUGGCUUACAGGUUUUUCUCAAGCAAUUUGAAAAUUGCCGUGAAUCUUUCCUUUGUGCUGACAUUGAAAUUCUGAUGGAACAUUAUUGAGGUUGUAGCUUUGUUUAACAUAUAAAAAUGCUCCAAAAUGUUCAGCACUGUUGAAUGGUUUUUUUUUUUUUAGCAGUAGUAAAAAGUAGGUUUAAGAAAAUUAAAAAGCAGUAUUUUAAAAAAUUAUGAAAACCAGCAUAUAUCUAGGUUCAGAGAUUUACUGACAAGUGAGAUUAUCCUUUAAAGGUGGCUUGCCUUUAAAAGCUGCAGUUGGAGAUUUUUUUUUUUCCUUUAGAGUUUCAUGUACAAUGAAUUACCUACUGGUAGUCAACUGUAGUUUGCUUCAUGGAAGCCCACUUGUCUCUCCCACAAACUGUUGGGUUUAUUUCAAAUGCUCAAGCAUCAGUUUAAAAAUUGACAGAACUUGCAAUUAGGACCUUGCAGUCUUUGUUGUCCUUGAGCUAAAAUAAGAAUCUGUCCACUUCUUACAGAGGAGUAACAGCUGAGUUCUGUGUUACAAAAUGAAAUUACUAGAGAUUUAAUUAACAUUAUAUAUUUUUGGUCAGCAAAAUUCAGUCAUGUUAUAUUCAAAUGGGACUUUAAAUGUUUUGCUUUCAGUAACUUCAGAAAGUAUUACAAACAAUGAAAAGAAAAUCUUUGUCUUUUGCUUCUUUAUGAAAUGAAAUUUAUUUUGAAGCAGCAGCAUCUUGGUUUUUUUAGCUGAUGGAAAUGCAGAAUACCUUCCCAGCUUUAGAUUACUUCUUUAGCACCCGCAAAGGGAGACCAAACCCAGAAAUUUAAAGCUAUUUAAGGGACAAUUAAAUGCUUUAUUCUCAAAUCUUGCCUUUUGUGAAAACGAGAAUGAAUAUGUAGAACACGUGAUUUAUAAGUUAUCCUGGUCUCAGCUUCUGCACUGGAAGUUUGUUUGGCUCCACUGUGUUAUAACCACCCCUCUUGAUAUGUCACAGCUUUUGGAUGUGUCCUUCUGGGAUGUUACUAUCUUUUCUCAGAAAUGUUUUGUACAUACACAUUAUCCUCUUUAUUAAUUUCAUUUGCUGCCUUGUUGAAUUGUGUAGGAGCCCUUUUUGACUUUUCUCACACUUUAGCUGUUACUGCUGUGUUUGUUAUCCAUGAAGUGUUUUGCUAAGGACAGCUGUGUUGUUUAGGGAUGGGGGUUAUAAUAGACACUUUUCCAUUAUGAUUUUUUUCUUGUGUGAUUUUUUUUUUUUUUUAAUUGCAGAGACUUCCUAUUCUAUGGUACACCAGGGACUGGAAAGAUUCUGGUAGCUUGUGCAGCUGCUAAUGAAUGUAACCAGGGUAACAGGGGAGUAAUCUUCUUUAUGAGAAAUGGUGUCAACUGCCUGAGUGAAUGGGCCUACCAGAUGUGACCUUCAGUUGUUUUCCUGGAUGAGAUCGAUGCUCUUGCUCCCAUACACACCAGCAAACAAGACCAGGUUCACAGGUGGUUCAUGUCUUGUCAUCAAGACAUGUCCCAAGACAUGUCAUCAAGAAGGUGCUUGAUCUUUGUGAAAGGACCACAACUUAUUUAACUUGCUGUGACACCUUCACUGAACCUGAGAAGUAGUAAUUUAGUGCUAGUGAAUUUCAGAUGAUUUUUAAAUAAUUGAAUACAAUUUACUAUACCAGUGAAUGAAAAUCAUAUUUUUCUGUUAGCUCAGUUGUUGGAACACUUCUGGCACUAAUGCAUGGCUUUGCCAGCGGAAAGGCUGUGGUAAUCAGAUCCCAUUCUGGCGGAGCCAUUUCAAGAUGGAGGAUGACACUCAUGGAGGAGCCACCACCAUUGCAAUGGUUGCAUUGCCUUGGUUUUGCGUCCAUUCUUGCUUGCAUGCUCAAACUCUUUGCAGAAAUCAGAAGCAAUUUAAUUGUCCCACACUCCUCAGUGCCUUCUGCUGCACACCCUAUUCCUGCAGCGGUGCCAUACAGGACUUCCUCCUGAGCCCCACCUUUGUGUCUUCCAGGAGCUCACCUGCAAAUUUUCUUUAACUUCUGGAUUUCUCAUUCCCACAAUAUCUUCCAUAAAGAGCUGCACUCAACCCAGCUUUCCCACACCAGCACUCUGUGUCUCUUGGGACUCAGCACCUGCUCCAGGGGGCAAGCCUGGAGUAACAAGGGUGGUCUGAGUUAGGGGGUGUCCCUGCAGCCUCCUCAUGGCUCCAGUCCCAUCCUGUCAUACUCAGGCAGCACUUGAGAGGACACUAGACUGAAACUAGCACUAGAAGCUAGUGGAAAUCAGAUCAAGGUGCUCCAGCCCCAGCUGUCCCUGGACAGGGACAAUUCCUGUCCUCCCUUUCCACAAGAAGAGACAGUGCAUGGUGUUAAAAAGCCAUUAUGGAAUGGUCCUGGAGUGACUGGGAGAGACUGAAGGCAACCAGGGAGACACAAGGUGACACAGGAGCUUCUCCAAGAAUGUUGAUUCCAACCCAGGGACCCCGGAAUCCCAUGCUACAUCCCAACCUACUGCCAUCCCCUCAUAUACACCCCUUUGGGGACCAUACCCUGGCAAGCUCAUCCCAGCACCCUCUGCCUGCUUAGCCAACAUUCCUGAGAAUUCCUCCCCCCCACUCAACCAGCACUGUUCUACCAGUGUGUCCCUGCAUUAAUCAGUAAAUGCUGGACUGAUGCCAGAGGAAUGUGUGUUUCCUGGGUGUCCCAAGCACUGGCUAUGUAUCCCUUGGUAUCAAAUCCAGUCAGAACACACCCACAUCUUGAUGGGUUUGUGUCUCCUAUGGAUCUGCAUGUCCAAAACUAAAACAAAUUUUCAGGAAUAGAAGGACUGAUGAAUGAGAAAUUAAGUAUUUUUUAAAUCAUCUGUCAUUCUGUAAAGUGACAAGAUUUAACCUGUUGAUCAUCUCUUUUUCUUUGCUCUUCUUUCAUUUUUUUUCCCCAUGUUUGUGGUUUUGGCUCUUUUCCAGUUCUCUUCCAUUUCCACUGCUCUGCCGCCUAUGCUGCUGCUGCUCCUUUUUCUUUCUUUUUCUUGCUGCCUUGACUCUCCAGCACUGGCACUGCUACUCUGCCUUCUAGCUUGACUCUCCAAAGGCUGAGGCUACAAUUAUCUGCACACACAAAAUAAAUUAAUUCAGUCACCCUU
ensembl:lncRNA